CAGAGAUCCACUUCAUCCUUCCAACAGGCAAGCAAGUCCAGUGGAAUUGUACCCUUCCAGUGUCCUACUGCAAAGCAGACCUUGAUGAAUCUUCGGAUGCUGCAGACUAUCUUCCAGACUCAUGUGGCAAUUCCUCGGAUGCUUCUAUUAUAAGUACUACAAGUUCUUGUAGUAAGGAAUAUAAAACCACAGAAAAGAAUCUCCACCACAAAUUGUCAGAGAACACACCAUUAGGGAAUGUUACAGCACACAGUGGGGAUAGUACCACCAGUUCAGAGAAGCCAAGAACAUUAAGUUAUUCAAAGAUGCGCAGCAAUCCUUGUACUUCAGUAAUAAGCUGCAGUGCCAAUUCAUCAGAGAACACAUCACACCAGAAAAGCUCCAUAAAUGUCACACCUUUGUCAAUAACAGCAAAAGGAAGCAAGUACAACAAGAAGCAAUUUUGUCUUUAUUGUAAAAAGGCCAUUUAUAAAUUGGCAAGACACCUCGAAUCCAUCCACAGUGAAAAGCCUGAUGUUGCAAUGGCUUUCAGUUUUAAUAAAGGAUCCC